rnacentral:rRNA from 1 species
GACAGAGGGUGCAAACGUUUGUUCGGAAUUACUGGGCGUAAAGCGCGUGUAGGCUGCUUCGCAAGUCGGAUGUGAAAGCCCUGGGCUCAACCCAGGAAGUGCAUUCGAAACUGCAGAGCUGGAGUCCUGGAGAGGAAGGCGGAAUUCUCGGUGUAGAGGUGAAAUUCGUAGAUAUCGAGAGGAACACCGGUGGCGAAAGGCGGGACCU